ACUAAGGUAGUUUUAUGAAAAAUAUAAAUUUGUGGUGUUUAAGAAGUGGUUAUCCCUUAGUA
rnacentral:tRNA from 1 species